CCCUUAGAUGUUCUGGGCCGCACGCGCGCUACACUGAUGCAUUCAACGAGUUUUUCCUGGUCCGAGAGGAAUGGGUAACCUUUUGAAAGUGCAUCGUGAUAGGGAUAGACUAUUGCAAUUAUUGGUCUUCAACGAGGAAUUCCUAGUAGACGUAGUUCAUCAGACUGCAUCGAUUACGUCCCUGCCCUUUGUACACACCGCCCGUCGCACCUACCGAUUGAACGUUCCGGUGAGACCUUGGGAUUUGGUCUUUGAUACUUUAUUGUGUCGUUGACCGAAAAACUUGAGCAAACCUUAACGUUUAGAGGAAGGUGAAGUCGUAACA
rnacentral:rRNA from 1 species